rnacentral:misc_RNA from 1 species
UAAUAAGUGUUUUAUGGCACUUUUUAAAUCCAUAUCCACCUUGUGUGCAAUGUCGGUCGAUCUUCUUUUUUGAGGAUCGACCAAACAUCAACCUUUAUCUUUUAACUCUUUGUCUGAAAAAUAUUAUGAAUAAACAAUUCAAAAUA